GAUGAACGCUAGCUACAGGCUUAACACAUGCAAGUCGAGGGGAAACGACAUCGAAAGCUUGCUUUUGAUGGGCGUCGACCGGCGCACGGGUGAGUAACGCGUAUCCAACCUGCCCAUCACUUGGGAAUAACCUUGCGAAAGUAAGACUAAUACCCAAUGAUAUCCCACGAAGGCAUCGGAAUGGGAUUAAAGAUUUAUCGGUGAUGGAUGGGGAUGCGUCUGAUUAGCUUGUUGGCGGGGUAACGGCCCACCAAGGCAACGAUCAGUAGGGGUUCUGAGAGGAAGGUCCCCCACAUUGGAACUGAGACACGGUCCAAACUCCUACGGGAGGCAGCAGUGAGGAAUAUUGGUCAAUGGGCGAGAGCCUGAACCAGCCAAGUAGCGUGCAGGAAGACGGCCCUAUGGGUUGUAAACUGCUUUUAUAAGGGAAUAAAGUGGGUCACGUGUGACUUUUUGCAUGUACCUUAUGAAUAAAGACCGGCUAAUUCCGUG
rnacentral:rRNA from 1 species